rnacentral:rRNA from 1 species
GACGGAGGAUGCAAGUGUUAUCCGGAAUCACUGGGCGUAAAGCGUCUGUAGGUGGUCAAAUAAGUCAACUGUUAAAUCUUGAGGCUCAACCUCAAAAUCGCAGUCGAAACUAUUAGGCUAGAGUAUAGUAGGGGUAAAGGGAAUUUCCAGUGGAGCGGUGAAAUGCGUAGAGAUUGGAAAGAACACCGAUGGCGAAGGCACUUUACUGGGCUAUUACUAACACUCAGAGACGAAAGCUAGGGUAGCAAAUGGG